rnacentral:rRNA from 1 species
CCAAUAGCGUAUAUUAAAGUUGUUGCAGUUAAAAAGCUCGUAGUUGAAUUUCGGGAUCAAUAUGUCGGUCGUGCCUCGGUACGUACUGGCGUCAUUGGUUUCUCCCUUCUGAAGAACCUCGAUGUCAUUAAUUUGGUGUCGUGGGGAAUCAGGACUGUUACUUUGAAAAAAUUAGAGUGUUUAAAGCAGGCUCACGCUUGAAUACAUUAGCAUGGAAUAAUGAAAUAGGACGUUUGAUUCUAUUUUGUUGGUUUCUAGGAUCGACGUAAUGAUUAAUAGGGAUAGUUGGGGGCAUUAGUAUUCAAUUGUCAGAGGUGGAAUUCUUGGAUUUAUUGAAGACUAACUACUGCGAAAGCAUUUGCCAAGGAUGUUUUCAUUAAUCAAGAACGAAAGUUAGGGGAUCGAAGACGAUCAGAUACCGUCGUAGUCUUAACCAUAAACUAUGCCGACUAGGGAUCGGAUGAUGUUAAUUUUUUAAUGACUCAUUCGGCGCCUUAC